rnacentral:misc_RNA from 1 species
UUUUAGUAUAGAAGGAGAAAGUUGUGUCACCAGCUUAUGAAGCAAGUCAGGUUGCUCUUCGAACAGAUCAGGUAAAUGCUUCCUCAUAGCCUCUUCCAAUUUAAUAGCAUCCUUCCCUGGGACCCCAUACCACAUUUUUGGAGCACCCCAAUGCAUGUAAUUCAGUGAAUAUAAGUGAUGGUCUUCAACAUGCCAACAGAAGGAGGAAAAGCACAUUCCUAUAUACAACCAUGGCACUAAAACACCAGAUAUAUCACCACUUUCAUAAGAAAGGACAGAUC